rnacentral:rRNA from 1 species
AUUGAACGCUAGCGGGAUGCUUUACACAUGCAAGUCGAACGGCAGCGCGGACUUCGGUCUGGCGGCGAGUGGCGAACGGGUGAGUAAUGUAUCGGAACGUGCCCAGUAGCGGGGAUAACUACGCGAAAGGGUAGCUAAUACCGCAUAAGCCCUACGGGGGGAAGCAAGGGGUCGGAAGACCUUGCACUAUUUGGGCGGGCGAUAUCGGAUUAGCUAGUUGGUGAGGUAACGGCUCACCAAGGCGACGAUCCGUAGCUGGUUUGAGAGGACGACCAGCCACACUGGGACUGAGACACAGCCCAGACUCCUACGGGAGGCAGCAGUGGGGAAUUUUGGACAAUGGGGGCAACCCUGAUCCAGCCAUCCCGCGUGUGCGAUGAAGGCCUUCGGGUUGUAAAGCACUUUUGGCAGGAAAGAAACGUCGCGGGCUAAUACCCCGUGGAACUGACGGUACCUGCAGAAUAAGCACCGGCUAACUACGUG